AACGAACGCUGGCGGCGCGUCUUAAGCAUGCAAGUCGGGCGGGAUCCACGCGCUUGCGCGUGGUGAGAGCGGCGGACUGGCGAGUAACACGUGGGCGACGCGCCCUCCGGACGGGAAUAGCCUGCAGAAAUGCAGGGUAAUGCCGGAUGCGAACGCACGGGCUGGAGCCGUGCGUGGAAAGCCCCCACGGGGGCGCCGGAGGAGCGGCCCGCGGCCCAUCAGCUGGUAGGCGGUGCAAGGGACCACCUAGGCUACGACGGGUACCCGGCCUCAGAGGGCGGACGGGCGCAUUGGGACUGAGAUACGGCCCAGACUCCUACGGGAGGCAGCAGCUAAGAAUAUUCCGCAAUGGGGGGAACCCUGACGGAGCGACGCCGCGUGGGCGAGGAAGGCCGGAAGGUUGUAAAGCCCUUUUGCGCGCGAGGAAUAAGGGGAGGAGGGAAUGCCUUCCGGUGACUGUAGCGCGCGAAUAAGCGCCGGCUAAUUACGUG
rnacentral:rRNA from 1 species